GUACGGGGGGCGAGCGUUGUCCGGGAGUUUAUUGGGCGUAAAGAGCUCGUAGGCGGCUCAGCAAGUCGGGCCCGUGUAAAGCCUGAGGGCUCAACCUCAGGACGCCGGUCGAAACUGCUGUGGCUACGGGUCCCGGUAGAGGAGAGUGGAAUUCCCGGUGUAGCGGUGAAAUGCGCAGAUAUCGGGAGGAACACCAGUAGCGAAGGCGGCUCUCUGGGCCGGCACCGACGCUGAGGAGCGAAAGCUAGGGGAGCAAACAGGAUUAGAUACCCUGGUAGUCCUAGCCGUAAACGUUGGGCACUAGGUGUGGCGGAUUCAUUGACAUCUGCCGUGCCGAAGCUAACGCAUUAAGUGCCCCGCCUGGGGAGUACGGUCGCAAGGCUA
rnacentral:rRNA from 1 species